rnacentral:snRNA from 1 species
AUACCUUUCUCGGCCUUUUGGCUAAGAUCAAGUGUAGUAUCUGUUCUUAUCAGUUUAAUAUCUGAUACGUGGGCCAUCGGCCCACUCGAUAUUAAUCUUAUUUUUUAUGGAAAAAGACUCAUGACAAUAGCUUGCUAUUGGGGUCUUUGAGCGUUGGCGCACCCCUC